rnacentral:miRNA from 1 species
AUUGAGGAGGCCGGGACUUCAU